rnacentral:rRNA from 1 species
AUUGAACGCUGGCGGCAUGCCUUACACAUGCAAGUCGAACGGUAACGCGGGGCAACCUGGCGACGAGUGGCGAACGGGUGAGUAAUGCAUCGGAACGUGCCCAGUAGUGGGGGAUAGCCCGGCGAAAGCCGGAUUAAUACCGCAUACGACCUACGGGUGAAAGGGGGGGAUCGCAAGACCUCUCGCUAUUGGAGCGGCCGAUGUCAGAGUAGGUAGUUGGUGGGGUAAAGGCCUACCAAGCCGACGAUCUGUAGCUGGUCUGAGAGGACGACCAGCCACACUGGGGCUGAGCCACGGCCCAGACUCCUACGGGAGGCAGCAGUGGGGAAUUUUGGACAAUGGGCGCAAGCCUGAUCCAGCCAUGCCGCGUGCGGGAAGAAGGCCUUCGGGUUGUAAACCGCUUUUGUCAGGGAAGAAAUCUUCUGAGUUAAUACCUCGGGAGGAUGACGGUACCUGAAGAAUAAGCACCGGCUAACUACGUGCCAGCAGCCGCCGUAACAC